UCUCCGUAGGUGAACCUGCGGCGGGAUCAUUACCGAGUGAGGGUUCCGGCCCGACCUCCAACCCUUUGUGAAUUCGACCCUGUUGCCUCGGGGGCGACCCGGCCUUCGGGCGUCGGGGCCCCCGGCGGACCACUCAACUCUGCAUCUUUGCGUCGGAGUUUAAAACAAAUUAAACAAAACUUUCAACAACGGAUCUCUUGGUUCUGGCAUCGAUGAAGAACGCAGC
rnacentral:misc_RNA from 1 species